AGGACGAACGCUGGCGGCGUGCUUAACACAUGCAAGUCGAGCGGUAAGGCCUUUCGGGGUACACGAGCGGCGAACGGGUGAGUAACACGUGGGUGAUCUGCCCUGCACUCUGGGAUAAGCCUGGGAAACUGGGUCUAAUACCGGAUAUGACCUGCCUCUCGCAUGGGGGUGGUGGAAAGAUUUAUCGGUGCAGGAUGGGCCCGCGCCUAUCAGCUUGUUGGUGGGUAAUGGCCUACCAAGGCGACGACGGUAGCCGACCUGAGAGGGUGACCGGCCACACUGGGACUGAGACACGGCCCAGACUCCUACGGGAGGCAGCAGGUGGGAAUAUGCACAAUGGGCAAAGCCUGAUGCAGCGACGCCGCGUGAGGAUGGAAGGCCUU
rnacentral:rRNA from 1 species